rnacentral:lncRNA from 1 species
CCAACCGAUCAAUUGAGCAUCCAACUCCUAAUUCAUCAAGAAGAGUGAAUAACAAACAAAAGAAAAACAAAAAGAAGAGUAAAAAAAUCACAAAGUGAUGAUGAGCAAAAAGAAUGAAAAACGAAGUUCAAGGAAACACCAAGUGCUCAAAAAGUCCAAUAGUUGAUGCAAUAUCUAGAUGAUAACCCUUGCUUCAAAAAAAAUAAUAUAACCAACAAACAUUCAUUUGGGCCUUUAUACCCUUUCUUCCAAAAACCUUUUAGCCCCUAGCCACGUUACAAGCUUAAUAAAGUCCACGCAGAUUGGAUAAUGUUUGCUAAAGUUUUCAUGAAGCUUAAUUUUGCGAUAAGGGGAAAUGAUUUUCAAUGUGUCAAAAAAAAAAAGAAAAAAGAAAAGAAAAAAAAGAAGAAAAAGUAAUGUCUCGGGAAGAGAGGAUCACCCUGCCAUCUAACCAGGAGCAUGCAAAAAGAAAAAUCAAACCAAUUGGGGGCCACCCUUUUAGCCGAUCUUGUACAUGUCCACUACCUCUUCCAAACUGAACCCCUUGUCGAAGAAAAACUGGGGCAACUUUGUGAACCUCACACGAAUUUUUCAUCAACCCAUACCACGAUAAAAAAANNN